rnacentral:lncRNA from 14 species
CAUAGGAUAGUUAAGGUUGGAAAGGAACUUAAGAUCAUAAGGUUCCAACCCCCAGGCAAUGUACAGGAUAAGGAAGUCUGAAAGUGGAUUGUAGCUUACAUGAAUUAGAGAAUGUGAUGGAGGCAGGCUAGAGAAAUGAUUUCUUAUUCUGCCUGUUUGACAUUUUUUUUCAUUAAUAUGUUCAUUCAUUCAUCCAUUUCCUCUGCCUUUCAUCUGAUUUUCAAUAUCAGUGAAGUCUAAUAGUUUUCUUUAUUUCACAGAGUGCUGUGAUUAUUAAUAAGUUAUCACCUUUAGAGCUCUAUGACAUUUACAGAUUAGAAGUAUUGUACACUAUGCUGACUGCUGAUUGUGGCAUUUACAGAAAUAUCAUAAGAGAUUUUUGGAACUUCUGCUUAAUAUUUAUAUUGUGCAUAUAUUCAGAACACAGAUAAGCUGUGUAAGAAACCUAAUCAUAAUUUCUUAGCUUUACAGAACAAAGACAAGGAGUAGAGUGCAAAAGAAACUAACUAAUAUAAUGCACAUGUCUUUCUCCAACAGGAAAUUCAAGUAAAAUUUGGAUUCUUGGGUUGAUGUACAGAAGAUCGUGGAGGUUUUAUUAUUCCUCAGCACUAAACUGGCAGAGCACAAAAGAUGUGUACCUUUCAUUUCCUGUGAGGGAUGCCUGAGGAAUAUCUUCCUGUCACCCAAGAAUGUAAGCUGCAGAAGAAUCUAGCAGUGGAACUGGCAUUUCACUUUGUCUCUGUGACAAGACCAAUGCAGAUGAGGGUGAUCAAAUACUUUUGAGAGGUUUUCUGGGGAGACUGUGGGACCUGCAGCACUUAUGGCUCUGGACAAUCUCAUCCAACUAACUCUUUUUGCAUGAAGGAGAUGGAACAGAUGGCCUCCAGAGGUCCCUUCAUCCAGAAGUAUUCUAUAACUCUAUAACCCCCUUGCUUUUCCCUGUUGCUGAGUUUGUUAAAAUUGUUUUGAUCUUUCUUGACAAAAGAACAAUUUAGUCAUGAAGCAUACAAUCAUGAUUCUUCUUUUUAUUUACUCUG